UUCUGUUAGUUUUGCAUAGUUGCACUACAAGAAGAGAGUGGUUGUGCAAAUCUAUGCAAAGCUGAUGGUGGC
rnacentral:pre_miRNA from 5 species